rnacentral:rRNA from 1 species
UAGGGAAUCUUCCGCAAUGGACGCAAGUCUGACGGAGCAACGCCGCGUGAGUGAAGAAGGAUUUCGGUUCGUAAAACUCUGUUGUUAGAGAAGAACAGCGCAUAGAGUAACUGUUAUGCGUGUGACGGUAUCUAACCAGAAAGCCACGGCUAACUACGUGCCAGCAGCCGCGGUAAUACGUAGGUGGCAAGCGUUGUCCGGAUUUAUUGGGCGUAAAGCGAGCGCAGGCGGUCAAAUAAGUCUGAUGUGAAAGCCCCCGGCUCAACCGGGGAAGGUCAUUGGAAACUGGUUGACUUGAGUGCAGAAGAGGAGAGUGGAAUUCCAUGUGUAGCGGUGAAAUGCGUAGAUAUAUGGGGGAACACCAGUGGCGAAGGCGACUCUCUGGUCUGUAACUGACGCUGAGGCUCGAAAGCGUGGGUAGCAAACAGG